rnacentral:sRNA from 1 species
GUUUCUUGCUGUGUGACCUUGGGCCAAUAUCUGCACUCCCCUGACCUUCAGAGACUAGCUGCGGUCCUUUCACUCUCUGAGGCCAGGCCUGGGAACCCUCAGACAGGUGUCUGACUUUGGGAAACCCUCAAAGGCUUCCUGUCACAUUAAUGGCUCUCCAUCCGGAUCUGCACCCCUUUUCCUCCUCCUUCGUGGCUAACUUAAUGAAACCAAGUUUGCAAAUGAAACAUAAUUUCAUAGACAGACAUGUUGUUGGAAGGUCUGGGAUGGUCUUAACAGCUGUCUCUCUAAUUACCGCAGAUGCUAACGAGGUGCCUGGAGCCUCUGGUUACAGGAGCAGAGCUGCUGUUUGUUUGCCAGGGCCGGGUAGGAGGCAGGGCUGCCAAACCUGCCCCUCCAUUGAGGUGUACACACACCUGAAGGCCCUUGGGCAGGCAGGACCUACAGUGGACCCCAUGCCCAGGCUCUGGGGGGGCCUCGCCUGUGUGGCCAACUCACCCAGCCCAGACGUGAACGUUUCCCAGGGACAGCUCUCCAUUCACUCAAUUCAUCCAGCAAGUGUCUGUGAUGCCCCAUGCACAGGCUCAGCCAGUGCUAGCAGUAGGGUAUAGUGAGCAGGCCAGGCAGCUCCCACUCCAGAGGGGUUGGCAGGGGUGUGCAGGAUCCUUCAGAGAACGACAGAUGGCGGGGAGACUCAGCGAGGCAGUGGUCGGGGGUACGUGUGCUGGGCGCUCCCCAGGAGCCUUUCUGAAAAGGGCACAUUGGGUUGGGUCCACAAGGGCCCAUGAAGAUGCCAGGGGAAAUUUCUGGUUGUAGAGGCAGCAGUUGCAAAGGCCCUGAGGUGGGACAGGAGGCGGUUCUCAUGCUACAGCGUGGGGAGCCGGAGGGUGAGGAGUCAGGUGCCCGCUGAGGGCCCGGGGCUGUGCUGCUGGCCCUGUGCUGUGUGCUUGGGUGCUGGUGAACCUCCCUGGGUGGGCAAGCCUCCUCAGGUAGGUAUGUCAGUAUCCAUGACACACCAUAGUUGUGUCCCAGAGUAAUAUGGGGGCCCAGCUGGGUGGUCCCUAGGAGGCCAGUGGAUCACAGUCACACUUGGAGUUGCGUAGUAUGGGGUCCGCUUGUGCCACGGGCGGCAGGCCAUGGGGAACUUUGUCCUGAGCACCUCCAGCUGGGGAGCAGGCCCCUGGGAGGCUGGAGCUAGGCGGGAAUCCUGCUGAGACCAGGGGAGACUUCUGGGUGAAAUAGGCCUCGGCCCUCCCUGAUGCAGGUCCCACGUGCCACGCCAUGUUCCUCGAUACACUACUGCACCUCCUGGCUCAUGUGUAAUUUAGGGUUUUCAUGUGAUAUUUGUGGGAUGGUGGGUAUGUUUUGUUUCCUGAUUUUCUUGCAGUCUCUGCUGGGCUUUGGGACUAAGGCUGUACUUGCCUCCCAAAGAGUUGGGAAGUGCUGCUCAUUUCUCCUUGCCGGGAACACCAUGGCUGGCACUCGACGGGUGGAGGGGCAGGUGGGGGGUAGGCCCGGGGGUCCUGGCUGCAGCCUCAUGCCGCCACCCCCGCAGGAGUGCGCUGGGGAGCCGCUGUUCAUGCUGUACUGCGCCAUCAAGCAGCAGAUGGAGAAGGGCCCCAUUGACGCCAUCACGGGUGAGGCACGCUACUCCCUGAGUGAGGACAAGCUCAUCCGGCAGCAGAUUGACUACAAGACGCUGACCCUGAACUGUGUGAACCCUGAGAAUGAGAAUGCACCUGAGGUGCCGGUGAAGGGGCUGGACUGUGACACGGUCACCCAGGCCAAGGAGAAGCUGCUGGACGCUGCCUACAAGGGCGUGCCCUACUCCCAGCGGCCCAAGGCCGCGGACAUGGACCUGGAGUGGCGCCAGGGCCGCAUGGCGCGCAUCAUCCUGCAGGACGAGGACGUCACUACCAAGAUUGACAACGAUUGGAAGAGGCUGAACACACUGGCUCACUACCAGGUGACAGACGGGUCCUCGGUGGCACUGGUGCCCAAGCAGACGUCCGCCUACAAUAUCUCCAACUCCUCCACCUUCACCAAGUCCCUCAGCAGAUACGAGAGCAUGCUGCGCACGGCCAGCAGCCCCGACAGCCUGCGCUCGCGCACGCCUAUGAUCACGCCCGACCUGGAGAGCGGCACCAAGCUGUGGCACCUGGUGAAGAACCACGACCACCUGGACCAGCGUGAGGGUGACCGCGGCAGCAAGAUGGUCUCGGAGAUCUACCUGACACGGCUACUGGCCACCAAGGGCACACUGCAGAAGUUUGUGGACGACCUGUUUGAGACCAUCUUCAGCACGGCACACCGGGGCUCAGCCCUGCCGCUGGCCAUCAAGUACAUGUUCGACUUCCUGGAUGAGCAGGCCGACAAGCACCAGAUCCACGAUGCUGACGUGCGCCACACCUGGAAGAGCAACUGCCUGCCCCUGCGCUUCUGGGUGAACGUGAUCAAGAACCCACAGUUUGUGUUCGACAUUCACAAGAACAGCAUCACGGACGCCUGCUUGUCGGUGGUGGCCCAGACCUUCAUGGACUCCUGCUCCACCUCUGAGCACAAGCUGGGCAAGGACUCACCCUCCAACAAGCUGCUCUACGCCAAGGACAUCCCCAACUACAAGAGCUGGGUGGAGAGGUACUAUGCGGACAUCGCCAAGAUGCCAGCCAUCAGCGACCAGGACAUGAGUGCGUAUCUGGCUGAGCAGUCCCGCCUGCACCUGAGCCAGUUCAACAGCAUGAGCGCCUUGCACGAGAUCUACUCCUACAUCACCAAGUACAAGGAUGAGAUCCUGGCAGCCCUGGAGAAGGACGAGCAGGCGCGGCGGCAGCGGCUGCGGAGCAAGCUGGAGCAGGUGGUGGACACGAUGGCCCUGAGCAGCUGAGCCCCAGCUGUGAUCAUCCAGCAUGAUGCAGCGUGAGGACGGCCGAGCAGGGACCGGGACAGCCCUCGCCGCAUGCGUGUGGAGUGUCCGGUGGUGCUCGGGCCGCCGCAGUGCAGCGACUGCCCGGCCCUCCCUCCCCUGCCUCGCCCGGUCGGGUCCCGGCUCUUCCUAUGUGGAGGUGAUGGUACCUGCCACACCACAGCUGCGCACACAGCUGCUUGCUCAGGGGCUGGGACAGCACUGGGUGCUCAGGCUGGCCAAGGACCUUCAUUGCCUGGCAAGAGCUGCCCAGUGGCCUUCAUGGGAGAAGGGCUGACCUCUGAGGGGCUGAGGGGUGAGGCCAGGGCCCUCCAGGGGGAGGGGUAGCCAGCUUGGGCUGUCCCCUUGAGACCAGGACAAGAGGCUGGGGGUGUCAGCAUUCCCGGCUUUCCAAGCUGCCCCCAGGCGGCAGAGUCUGAGGGUCCCAGGGCCCGGUUGGCAGCUGGAGAAAGAGGCAAAAAGCCCGUAGCCGGGCAAGAGGAGCUCAAGUCGGUCUGGGCCCGUUGCCACCGACUCCCACCUCCAGCACCCAUGCCCGCUGCACCGCUGCCAUCCUCAGAUUCACCGCGUGCUCUGCGCGGCCGAGGCCGGAGCACCACAUCCACCUCGCCCCAGAGAGGCCCUGCUCCCUCCUAUGGAGGGGCUGUGGGCCAGGCUGCUCAGACUCCUGGGUGGCUUCCAGACGGACCGGGCAGCCCCUCUCCGUCCUCAGGGCUGUGCCUCUGGGAGCCACUGGGCCAGGGGCCCCGGGUCACAGAGAGCACGUUCCCGUUAUUUAUUCCCCUCCGCGUCCUACACAGGCUGCCCUGGCAGCUGUCUUCAAGGGUAGGCUGAGCUCCCCGCCCUGGAGCCCCUGAGGGCGGCCCCUGAGCACUCCUCUCUCUCCACUCUCUCUGUCCCUGCCCCAGCGGCUUCCAGUGUGGCAUCUCAGCAGUGUCCUGGCCCCUCCAGAGCAGUGGGACAUCUGGGGACUGUUUUUGUUUUUAGGGGAAAAAAUUCUGCUGCACUCUGCUUGGGCCUUGAGGUCUGUGGCAGGGCUCCUCUGGCCCGCAGUGGCCUGGAUCUAUCUGGGCCAUGAGUGACGGGCAGUGACCAGAGGGACUGGAGGCCAGCGGUGUCCACCCUUGCCCUCAGCAAGAGAGAAUGCAUUCUUAAAAGAAAGCUGUACAUGUAUAUAUAUGCAUAUAUAUAUAUGUGGCUCUAGCCUCAGGCUCCAGCCCCAGUGGGGUACUGUACAGUUAACUGAAGAAGAAUUUUAAAGACGAUUUGAACAAGAAAAUGAAGGCAGUGGGAAAGCAAUGCCAAAUGGUUGUGGAGAAAGUGGCCGGAGCCUCCCUGGAGUGGAGCAGCCCUGAAGCCUGUGCCCCCCGACCUGCGGGCCGCUGUUUUGGUUUGACAUGACAAGGAAAGAACUUCCUGCCGACCCUGAGAGCCUCUGGGGUGCCGCGGCACCACGGGGCAUGCAUGAUUGUGCUAGCGUUUAGUCUGAGUUGAUCUUUUUAAAACUGCAAGUGUUGAAUACU